UACCUCUCUCUGUAACUCUUUCAAAUAAAUAAAAUCUAAAAAAAGACGACGACAGCAGGGAGGGAGCCCGAUCAGCAAGGGGAACAAUGAAGUCUGACGAGGCAGGACCGAGUCACGCGGGCCCGGAGGUCAAGUUAAGGAGAGGGUUUCUAUUUUAGAUGCAACAGGAAGUUGUGAAUGGGUUGUGAGGAGGCUCGUGUGUUUGUACACAGAGGCGAAGGGAAGGCGAAUAUGAAAGCAGGAGUCCAGUUUUGCCAGAAUCCCAGGGAGAGGGCCCGGUUGGUGGCUUGGGCCGGUUUGGAGAGCUGGAGACCUGUGGGUGAAUCGGAGAAUCUGGAGGCACUGCACCAGGUGCUGCGUAUCCGAGGAAUGCAGAGAAGCAUGGCCACGCGGUGCUCCAGUUAGCUAAGAAAGCACCCAGGGGCUUCCGAAAAGAAGAGACGCGAGCAGUGGAGACGUUUGGGAGACCUGGGAAAUUAACGAUGGGGGGUAACUGCGGAGCUCCAUGACCACAGGCUGAAAUCUGCGCCCCGGGGAGUUUCAACAAGCAGUUCUGAGUCUUAGCCUGGUUGCAAGGUAAGUCUUGGAAGCCCUUACCUGAGCUCUUCAAUUAAGAAGUUGUGAGGCUGGGGCUGGCCUUGUGGCUCAGUGGGCUAAGCCACCACCUGCAAUGCCAGUAUACCAUA